GUGGGGAAUUUUGGACAAUGGGGGCAACCCUGAUCCAGCCAUGCCGCGUGCGGGAAGAAGGCCUUCGGGUUGUAAACCGCUUUUGUUCGGGAAGAAAUCCUCUGGGCUAAUACCCCGGGGGGAUGACGGUACCGGAAGAAUAAGCACCGGCUAACUACGUGCCAGCAGCCGCGGUAAUACGUAGGGUGCGAGCGUUAAUCGGAAUUACUGGGCGUAAAGCGUGCGCGGGCGGUUGUGCAAGACAGAUGUGAAAUCCCCGGGCUUAACCUGGGAACUGCAUUUGUGACUGCACGGCUAGAGUGCGGCAGAGGGGAGUGGAAUUCCGCGUGUAGCAGUGAAAUGCGUAGAUAUGCGGAGGAACACCGAUGGCGAAGGCAGCUCCCUGGGCCUGCACUGACGCUCAUGCACGAAAGCGUGGGGAGCAAACAGGAUUAGAUACCCUGGUAGUCCACGCCCUAAACGAUGUCAACUGGUUGUUGGUCCUUCACUGGAUCAGUAACGUAGCUAACGCGUGAAGUUGACCGCCUGGGGAGUAGGGCCGCAAGGU
rnacentral:rRNA from 1 species